rnacentral:rRNA from 1 species
UACGUAGGGGGCGAGCGUUGUCCGGAUUUAUUGGGCGUAAAAGGCUUGUAGGUGGCCACGCCAAGUCGGAUGUGAAAUCUCCCGGCUCAACUGGGAGGGGUCAUUCGAUACUGGCGGGCUCGAGGCCGGUAGGGGGAAGCGGAAUUCCAGGUGUAGCGGUGAAAUGCGUAGAUAUCUGGAGGAACACCGGUGGCGAAGGCGGCAUCCUGGACCGGUAUUGACGCUGAUGCGCGAAAGCCAGGGGAGCAAACGGG